rnacentral:lncRNA from 1 species
ACUUAACAUUGUGGUCCCGCCUCUUGACUCUCAGCCAACCAGGCUCCCCAAUUCCGGCCCAGCGCAUCUGAGUGGCAGGUCAGCCUUCCAAUGAGAGCUUCAAGGCGGCGACAACGGCCCCCGCCCCCAGCUGACAGGCCCGGUUCCGAGGCUCAGUUGCUGUGGCGGUGGCAGCGGCGCCUUCUUCAAGAUGAGUGGCCCCAACGUGGCGCUGCUGCGGGUCCUUUCCAGGGUCGCAGGUGCAGGACCCACCGGAUGUCUGGCUCGGGGCCUACACGGCAGCCCCACCUCCUCCUCCUACAGAGACUCCGAUCGGGGCCCUCACACACCCUGAAUGACUCAGGGCCCUGUGCCGCCCCUCCCUCUCUCCUUCACCUCAGUCAUGUGUCUGGGGUUCCAUUCAGGAGAUUCCCAAGCAGAAAUGGAGGCCCAGCCCUGAGGGAGACGAGGAGGCAGAGGGAGAGCCCAGAGGAGACUCCCUAUGUGAGCACCCCAGGGGGAGGGAGAGCUGACCCUAACGUGCCAGGCCAGGAAGCCCUCCGCCCCGGGGAGGACCCAACACAGAAACUGCUGCCCAAGAAGUUUAUUGGGAGAAGCCGCAGAGUUGUUACUCGUUGGGCGAUGGCACCACAGCGUCCGGCAGCGCCUGCAGUCCCAGCAUGGGGUUUCGGGUUCCGGGAGUUUGGGAGGGAGGUUCAGGAGCAUUUUUUGGUUUCUUUUCCUCCUUGGGUCCCAGAG